rnacentral:rRNA from 1 species
CCCGCCGGCGACCGGCGCACGGGUGAGUAACACGUAUGAAACCUGCCCGUAGCAGGGGGGUAAGCGGAAGAAAUUCCGUCUAAUACCGCGUAACAACCCAUGGAGGCAUCUCUGUGGGUUUAAAGGAAGCGAUUCCGGCUACGGAUGGUCAUGCGUCGCAUUAGCUUGUUGGCGGGGUAACGGCCCACCAAGGCGACGAUGCGUAGGGGUUCUGAGAGGAAGGUCCCCCACACUGGUACUGAGACACGGACCAGACUCCUACGGGAGGCAGCAG